GAGAAGAGGACAACUGGCUACAAAUAUCAACAGGCUUUAACAGUCUUCUUUCCUUCAAGUCCAGUUCUUUGAAAGUCCAAAUUUGCUCUGAACUGACUUCAAGCAAGUGCCCACUCUUGAACAAAUUACUGAGGCUGGAGGAUAAAGACACAAAUUGGCCAAACUUGGAUUACCUGCCUUCUGCAUCUUAAAGCUGAAAUGUGGAUGUGAUAGAAGAAGAUGAACUAUUUCUGAAUUCAAGAUGGACUCUGAAUUGAGAAGAUAGAUGCCUUGGACCUUAACACUAUUGAGCUAUCAACUAAACUGCAGACCACUUACCUUCAUAUUUAUGAAGUCUUGCUCUGUCGCCCAGGCUGGAGUGCAGUGGCACAAACUCGGCUCACUGCAAGCUCCAUCUCCUGGGUUCACGCCACUCUAGCCAGGAUGAUCUCCUGACCUCGUGAUCCGCCCGCCUCGGCCUUUCAAAGUGCUGGGAUUACAGGGCAAGAUCAUGAGUGAAGACUAUCAGGAUCCUUCUAGUCCAUCAUCUAAGCCUGGUAAUUCCUCCUGGUCAGCAUAUCCUGUUAAUAUUAUAUGGCAUUUAGGCUGUAGCCUGCUUUCCUCUCAAAGCAGCACUCCCAGUGGCUCACACAGUUUGCUUGGUCAUCAGCCAACCUACUGGGGAAGCUGCCUGCUGGUUUGAAAGAGCACCCAACGAUCUGGAAGACUGUCUACUGCAACUGUACAUGGUUGCACCAGAUCCACGGAGCCCUUGAAUUGCCCCUUGGCAACCUUAAAAGGACCUAGAAGUAUGAAAAAAUCAUCAAUGUCACUUGGGAUGGACUUUGAACAAGAUGAGCCAUAUUUCUUCUGAGACUCUGCAGGGAACUGCCUGGAGCAUUUCUGAGCAUACCCGAAUGUAUAUAGGAUACAUUUUGAGAAACACGAUCACCAUAGCUUAUGUGCUCAAGAUGAGACUUUAUUUCCCCGCAUUAAUGCAAUGGCCUUAUUCUCCGUUCCCACAAUGGACUCAAGCAGUCAAUGAUUGGUUAAAUUGUUCAUUCUGCCUCUUGCCUGGGAGGCUUUUGCUGUGAGCAUGCAUCAAGCACAAAAUCUGACUGCCAUGGAACAUUAAACAGGCUGUGAAACCUCAGUUGUAACAUCAAUAAAAUGGGAAGAACAAAAAAGUUGCUGUGAAGAUAAAAUGAGGCAGGUCCUGUCAACUGAUUGUGGAAGGAAAAUGAGAAUUUCAGAUGCCUGCUGAGAUCUGUGGAUGGAGUACUUUGUCCACAGGGCACUGAGCUCUGGCCAAACCAAAGACUUGUACUGCAUAGAUGUUCUUCAAUCUCUAUAGCUGGGAACUCUCUUCUUUUUGUAGUGCUUGCCCAUUGUAGAUGUUUAAUAAGUUUGCAUUACGUACAGGAGAAACUAUGAAAGUCCCUUAUAAAUAUAACAACCAUAAUGAUAAAAGGAAA
rnacentral:lncRNA from 1 species